GAUGAACGCUGGCGGCGUGCCUAACACAUGCAAGUCGAGCGAUCUUCUUCGGAGGAGAGCGGCGGACGGGUGAGUAACGCGUGGGUAACCUGCCCUGUACACACGGAUAACAUACCGAAAGGUAUGCUAAUACGAGAUAAUAUCUCUCGGGAGGAAAGGCUUGCCACCGGGAGAGGGGCCUGCGGCGUAUUAGCUUGAUGGUGGGGUAACGGCCUACCAUGGCGAUGAUGCGUAGCUGGUCUGAGAGGACGAUCAGCCAGACUGGGACUGAGACACGGCCCAGACUCCUACGGGAGGCAGCAGUUCAGAAUCUUGCACAAUGGGCGCAAGCCUGAUGCAGCGAUACCGCGUGUGCGAAGAAGGCCUUCGGGUCGUAAAGCACUGUCAGAGGGGAAGAUUAUGACGGUACCCUCAAAGGAAGCCACGGCAAAUUACGUGCCAGCCGCCGCCGUAAGAC
rnacentral:rRNA from 1 species